GAUGAACGCUGGCGGCGUGCCUAACACAUGCAAGUCGAGCGAUCUUCUUCGGAAGAGAGCGGCGGACGGGUGAGUAACGCGUGGGUAACCUGCCCUGUACACACGGAUAACAUACCGAAAGGUAUGCUAAUACGGGAUGAUGUAUGAAAGUCGCAUGGCUUUUAUAUCAAAGCUCCGGCGGUACAGGAUGGACCCGCGUCUGAUUAGCUAGUUGGUAAGGUAACGGCUUACCAAGGCGACGAUCAGUAGCCGACCUGAGAGGGUGAUCGGCCACACUGGAACUGAGACACGGUCCAGACUCCUACGGGAGGCAGCAGUGGGGAAUAUUGCACAAUGGGCGAAAGCCUGAUGCAGCAACGCCGCGUGAGCGAUGAAGGCCUUCGGGUCGUAAAGCUCUGUCCUCAAGGAAGAUAAUGACGGUACUUGAGGAGGAAGCCCCGGCUAACUACGUGCCAGCAGCCGCGGUAAUACGUAGGGGGCUAGCGUUAUCCGGAAUUACUGGGCGUAAAGGGUGCGUAGGCGGUCUUUCAAGCCAGAAGUGAAAGGCUACGGCUCAACCGUAGUAAGCUUUUGGAACUGUAGGACUUGAGUGCAGGAGAGGAGAGUAGAAUUCCUAGUGUAGCGGUGAAAUGCGUAGAUAUUAGGAGGAAUACCAGUAGCGAAGGCGGCUCUCUGGACUGUAACUGACGCUGAGGCACGAAAGCGUGGGGAGCAAACAGG
rnacentral:rRNA from 1 species